rnacentral:misc_RNA from 1 species
GAUGAAAGAACGCAGCGAAAUGCGAUACGUAAUGUGAAUUGCAGAAUUCAGUGAAUCAUCGAAUCUUUGAACGCAUAUUGCGCUCUCUGGUAUUCCGGAGAGCAUGCUUGUUUGAGUAUCAGUAAACACCUCAAAUCCUCUCUUCUUUUUGAAGAGGGAAUUGGACUUGAGCAAUCCCAACACUUGCAAGAGUGGCGGGUUGCUUGAAAUGCAGGUGCAGCUAGACUUUUCUCUGAGCUAAAAGCAUAUUUAUUUAAUCCCGUCAAACGGAUUAUUACUUUUGCUGCAGCUAACAUAAAGGAGAAUCGUUCUUAUGCUGACUGAUGCAGGAUUCACAGGUCGCUUCGGCAACUUGUAAACUCGAUCUCAAAUCAAGUAAGACUACCCGCUGAACUUAAGCAUAUCAAUAAGCGGAGGA